CCUAUAUCUUAUGGGAAGCCAAUGCAGGGACUGACAUAGGAGGGAGGUGCUGGUGGACAGGAAGAGGAGCCUCUCCGCCGCAUUCAUUAUAGACUGCAGUGGGGCAAGUUGGAAACAUGUAAGACCACUGAGAAGUGGAUUGCAGUAGUCCAGGCGCGAGAGAGGACAGUGGCAUGGGACAGAACCGUAGCAGCAUCUGGCGUUCAGUAGGGGCGGAUGCGCACAAUGUUUUUAAUAUGGAAGUGGCAGGAUUUGGCGAUCGACUGGACAUGAGGAGUGAAGGAGAGGUCGGAAUCAAAGAGAACACCUGGGCAGCGAGCCUGCGUGGUGGAGCUGAUGGUAGCACCAUUAACGUGAAGGGAAACAGAAACUGGGGUAGCAACACUUGAGGGAGGAAAGAC